AUAAGUUCUACGCCAUCAAACUCCCGGUGUUGCCAGUUCUCCAGUUGAACCUCUUCCGGUUAUGUUUUCGGACUCUAUAUGUUAUAUCUACUACAGCAAUAGCCAUAGCAUUUCCUUAUUUCAACCAGGUAUUAGGAAUCUUGGGAGCAUUGAACUUUUGGCCGAUGACCAUAUAUUUUCCAGUGGAAAUGUACAUUGUGCAAAGAAAGAUUGGAGCUUGGACAAAAAAAUGGAUACUUCUUGAAGGUUUCAGUAUGAUCUGCUUGAUUGUAUCUUUACUGGGAUUGAUUGGAUCAAUUGAGGGAAUAGUCAGUGCUAAAUUAGCUAAAAUGUAAAAUCCCCUUCUUUGUUUUCUCAAUAAUCUUGCUAGAAAAAUAGUAAGAUUUGUAAGCCAAAAGGGUAUGUAUUCAUGCCAUUCUUCAAAUGAGUUGAGAGUCUAUUAGAAACAACUUCUCUACCGUGAAGGUAGGAGUACACGUCGCUCUUUUCAGAUUUCACUUGUGAGAUCAUGCUAAAUAUAUUAUUGUUGUUGUACUAAAACUGUCUUAUAAUUUUUUUAAUUUUAUAGAAUGUGCCUUUUUUGCGUUGCAAUUACUAUAAGUAUUUAUAACAUGUGGUAGACUAUAUAUGAGAUCCAAUGUAUGAUAUUAAGUGCCUAUCUAGAGGUAUUGCUAGUUUAGAACAUAUUUGAUUGUAUGUUUCAGAUAGAUUUCACUCAUUUUUUUAAUUGUGGGUAUAAGUUAUACUUGGAAAAAGUACAUUCAACUCCUAAAUUGAGGAUCUCUUGCUCAAAUCUGCAUCCAUCUGGGUCUGCAAAAUUCAUAUGCACAAGUUGAGAGCAGAUAGGAGCAGCAGAUACUUAAGUCUGCAGGUCAAAGUAAUAGCAUCCAUCUUGGUGGUUUACCGACCUUCAAAAUGAAGCGAUGAUAUAAAAGCAACCAUAUCUGACGACCACUAGGAGUGCAUUCACAGGAAAAUGUCCGUCCUCACCAUACUUGUAGCAACUGACGCUGCCUACAGAACCUGUUGAGAAAGGCGUGUUAACGUCAACAGCUUAGUACGGCCAUCACUGCCGGACUAAACCCUAAACUCGGCGGCAUCACCAUCAGAUAGGUUACAGAAACACUCAGUAGUAGACUGGUGGACAAAGAGAUCAUCAUUGAACCACUUGAUGGCUCCCUCAGCCAUCCGUCCAUUACUCGUAUGAUUUUUUGAGAAUCUUGUUCAUCGGCCCAUAAAAUCCUACCAGGCCUCUGCCAAUGCCGCUGGCCAACCUGGGCCUCUUGCUGAGCUUGUUGCGGACCCAUCUGUAUGAUUUUUUGGGAAUCUUGCGCCGGGCCCCCAUGAAGCCCUAGAAUUCAUGGGCUAACACUUGCAGAAAACUGCCAAAAUCGCCUGUUUCCUGUUCAUCAGCCCAUAAAAUCCUAUCAGGCCUCCGCCAACGCCGCCGGGCCACCUGGGCCUCUUGCCGGGCUCGUUGCGGAUCCACCAGUAUGAUUUUUCGGGAAUCUUGCACCGGACCUCUAUGCAGCCCCAGAAUCCGUGGGCUAACACCCGCAGAAAACUGCCGAAAUCGCCUGUUUCCUGUUCAUCGGCCCAUAAAAUCCUAGCAGGCCUCUGCCAAUGCCGCCGGGCCACCUGGGCCUCUUGCCGGGCUCGCUGCGGACCUACCCAUAUAAUUUUUCGAGAAUCUUGCACCGAACCUCCAAGAAGCCCCAGAAUCCGUGGGUUAACACCCACAGAAAACUACCGAAAUCGCCUGUUUCCUGUUCAUCGGCCCAUAAAAUCCUACCAGGCCUCCGCCAACGCCGCCGGGCCACCUGGGCCUCUUGAUGGGCCCGUUGCAGACCCACCCGUAUGAUUUUUCGAGAAUCUUGCAUCGGACCCCCAUGCAGCCCCAGAAUCCGUGGGCUAACACCCACGCCGCCACCGAGCCACCUAGACCUCUUGUCAGGCUAAUUGCUGACCCACUCGUAUGAUUUUUCAUGAAUUUUGCGCCGGACCCCCCCGUAGCGCCAGAAUUCGUGGGCUCUUACCUACAGAAAACGGCCAAAAUCACUUAUUUCCUGUUCCUUGGCCCAUAAAACCCUACCACGCGUCUCUCGCCGCCGCCAGGCCACCUGGGCAUUUUGUCAAGCUCGUUGUGGGCCCACUCGUAUGAUUUUUUGAGAAUAUUGCGCCGGAGCCCCCGCAGCGCCAAAAUCCGUGGGCUAACACCCACGGAAAACUGUCGAAAUCGCAUGUUUCCUGUUCCUUGGCCCAUAAUAUCCUACUAGGCAUCCACCCACGCCGUCAGGCCACCUGGUCCUCUUCCCGGGCUCAUUUUAGACCCACUCGUAUGAGUUUUCGGGAAUGUUGCACCGGAGCCCCCGCAAUGCCAGAAUCCGUGGCCUAACACCCGCAGAUAACUGUGGAAAUCGUCUAUUUCUUGUUUCAUGGCUCAUAAAACCCUAUCAUGCUUCCACCCACGCCACCGAGCCACCUAGGCUUCUUCCCGGGCUCGUUGCAAACCUACUCGUAUGAUUUUUCAGGAAUGUUACUCCGGAGCCCCCCACAGCGCUAGAAUCCUAGGGCUAACACCCACAGAAAAUUGUCGAAAUCACCUAUUUCCUGUUUCUUGGCCCAUAAAAUUUUACUCAGCGUCCAGCCAUGCUACCGGGCCACCUGGGUCUCUUCCUGGGCUCGUUGCGGACCCACUCGUAUGAUUUUUGAGGAAUGUUGUGCUGAGCCCCUCGCAGCGCCUGAAUCCGUGGGCUAACACCCACAGGAAACUACGAAAUCACCUAUUUUCUAUUCCUUGGCCCAUAAAAUCCUACUAGGCGUCCACCCACUCCGCUGGGCCACCUGGUCCUCUUCUUGGACUCGUUUUGGAUCGGCUCAUAUGAGUUUUCGGAAUUGUUGCGCCGGAGAGCCCCCCCACCCCCAGCGCCAGAAUCCGUGGCCUAACACCCACAAAAAACUACCGACAUCGCCUAUUUUUUGUUCCUUGGCCUAUAAAAUCCUACCAUGCAUCCACCCAUGCCUCCGGGCCACCUAGGCUUCUUCCCGGGCUCGUUGCGGAUCUACUCGUAAGAUUUUUCAGGAAUGUUGCGCUAGAGCCCCCCAUAACGCUAGAAUCCAUGGGCUAACACCCACAGAAAACUGCCGAAAUCGCAUGUUUCCUGUUUCUUGACCCAUAAAAUCCUACCAGGCGUCCAGCCAUGCCACCGGGCCACCUGGGUCUCUCCCUAGGCUCGUUGUGGACCCACUAGUAUGAUUUUUUGGGAAUGUUGCGCUGGAGCCCCUCGCAGCGCCAAAAACCAUGGGCUAACACCUACUGCAGCGCUAGAAUCAGUGGGCUAACACCCACAGAAAACUGCUGAAAUCGCCUGUUUCCUGUUCCUUGGCCCAUAAAAUUCUACCAAGCAUCCCCCGCUGCCACUAGGCCACCUGGCCUCUUGCUGGGCUAGUUCCAAACACACUCGUAUGUUUUUUUGAGAAAGUUGCACCGGACCCCCUACUGCAGCGCCAGAAUCUGUGGGAUAACAACCAUAGAAAACUGUUGAAAUUGUCUGUUUCCUGUUCCUUGGCCCAUAAAGUUCUACCAGGUGUCCUCCGCUGUCUCCAAGCCACCUGGGCCUCUUGUCGGGCUCGUUGCGAACCCACUCAUAUGAUUUUUCGCAAAAGUUGCGUCGAACUCCCCUACAGCGCCAGAAUCUAUGGGUUAACACCCAUAGAAAAUUGUCGAAAUCGCUUGUUUCCUGUUUCUUGGCCAAUAAAAUCCUACCAGGCGUCCCCCGCUGCCGCCGAGCCACCUGGGCCUCUUGCCGGGCUCAUUGCGAAUCCACUCGUAUGAUUUUUCGCAAAAGUUGCAUCGGACUCCCCUACAGCGCCAGAAUCUGUGGGCUAACAUCCAUAGAAAACUGCGAAAAUCAUCUGUUUACUGUUCCUUGGCCCAUAAAAUCCUACCAGGCGUCCUCCGCCGCCGCCACUUCAUUUGUUUCUUUGCCACAGUUUCGAGUUCCUCCAUUUUGGCUUGCAGGAUCUUGCUUAGUCGUUGAUGCUCAAGAACUCCGAGUUUUUCUAUCGGAGUUUUUAGCAUCAUAUCAAUGUUGAUAUGCUUCAUCUUUCUGUCCAUGGCUAAACCUUUCUUUUGCUUCCAAAGCAAUGAAGGUAUAAGCUCUAAGGUCUUGUUUCUGGUAAAUGCAGAUUUGCAAAAAGGAAUUGCUUCCAAAUCAAUUUUUGCAAGUUACUUUUAUAGAUGAGUGCAUGCAUAAUUUCAUGGAUUGGAAUGCGCAACCACACUUCAUUUGUUGCUUUGUCACAGCUUCAAGUUCCUCCAUUUUUGCUUGCAGGAUCUCGCUCAAUUGUUGAAGCUCAAGAACUCUGAGUUCUUCAAUAGGAAGUUUUAGCAUCCUUUUAAUGUUGAUAUGCUUUAUCUUUCUUUCCGCGGUUAAACAUGUGCAUUGCGGAAGUAAAAGUUAAAAUGGUCUGGUGAAGUUUUUGAGAUGAGAAACAAGAAUGAUUUUUAGAUACCAGUGACAAUGAGGUCAUUUUACAGACUGAGUAUUUUCUCUCAGCUGGACCCAUAAAAUUUGACACAUAUUUCCAAAUAUUCAUGGAUUAAUUCACAUAAAAAGUUGAGAUAAACCUGGAUCUGGUCAUAGAGAGACGACCCAAAAUUGCUAAAAGUUACUUGACUUAAAUAGUCAUCCACCUUGUGAACUGUCUCUCUCAUCGUUUCAAGAAAGUUAGGUUCAAGUCAGGACACUUUUGGACUGUUGCUUUUAUAAUUUUAUGGUAAGAAGUAUUUUGUAUCUAUUUGCAGUUAAAGGGUAGAAUUACAGCAAAAGAGUUACAACCAAACACUUCUCUAUAGUGGAAAUUCCGUCAUUGUUGACCAAACUUGUGGCCAUCUCUAUCUUUUCCAUUAAAAUGAUGACUAAUGAGAACUUAACACUACUAGGUGGUACUACAGUGCUGUUGUUCUGAGGGGAGGAAUAUUAGAGAAUUAUAUCUUUGAACAUUUCUACUAAUAGGUGAAGGCUUUAUGCAGCUCAAGUAUUGUGUAGUAUCUAUUAAGCCAUCUACAUAUUUCCAAAGAGCUGCUUUAAGGUUUUCGGUGUCCGUCUAAGAAGAUAUCGAUCUGAGAUGGAAGUUCAACAUUCUCUAGAACAAGAGAAAACUUCUGGCAAAGAUGAUGUAGAUACAAUUAGGACUGGUAAGCUUUAAGUUGUCUCAAAAUGUUCUACAGGGCCUGAGUUUUAUCAUUUACUAGAAUUAAAUCUAAGAAACAGAAAUCUACCUGUAUUUUCCUUCCAGGAACUUUGUGGACUGCAGUUGCACACAUUAUUGCAGCUGAAAUUGGAGCUGGUGUUCUCUCUCUAGCCUGGGGCACAGCACAAUUAGGAUGGAUUGCAGGGCCAAUCACCAUGCUUUGUUUUGCAGUUAUUACAUACAUAUCUGCAUCCCUCAUAUGUGACUGUUACAGGUCACCUGAUCCUAUAACAGGAACGCGAAAUCCCUCUUACAUUGAUGCUGUUAGAGCUAAUCUUGGUAGAUUGUUCCAUCCUACAACAGAGAAUUAUCUUAGCAACUCUUUUUCUGGGGGGGAGGGGAUUAGAACCGUCUUUUAUGUAUUUUGACUUAUACUCGUUCAGGCAAGAAAUGGACGUGGUUGUGUGGUUUGCUUCAGUAUGUGAGCUUCUAUGGAUAUGAUAUUGUCUAUGUAAUUACAAGUGCAACAAGUACGAGGUUAGUUAGCUAUAUACAUAAGCAUACAGUUUAGAUGUUUGCCUCUCAGAUAACAUUAUAUCCAUCGUAGAGCAAUUCAAGCUUAAUCAGAUAUGCUUCUGUUAAGUUAUUAAUCCCACCAACAAUUUUUGCAGAGAAAUUCAGAUAUCAAAUUGCUACCAUGAAGGAGGAGAAAAAGCUGUAUGUCAAAGUGUGACAACUAUUUUCAUGCUGAUUUUCGGCAUUAUUCAGAUAGUAAUGUCGCAGAUACCAGAUUUCCAUAACAUGGUGUGGUUGUCUGUUGUCGCUGCGUUAAUGUCAUUUUGUUACUCUUUCAUUGGAUUGGGACUUGGAUUUUCUAAAGUUAUUGGUAAAGCCUGGACUAUUCUUUUCCUCAUUCCGUUUCUUGUUUUUUCAACUCGAUUUCCAAACAUAUAUCGAUGAAUCUUGUGUAUUUUGAUCUUUAGUCCCUAUCAUGGAGAAAGCAUUUCUUCUGACAAUCCCCCAUUGAUGUUGGAUCUGCAGAUAAUAGGAGUAUCAAGGGAAGCAUUGUGGGAGUACCAACAAGGAGUGCUGCUCAGAAGAUAUGGUUAGUUUUCCAGGGACUCGGAGACAUUGCUUUUGCCUAUCCUUAUUCGAUUAUCCUCCUCGAGAUACAGGUAAUAUUUAAUGAUAUUCUGCAACUUAAUUUAUGUCAUUUCUUAAUAUAUCAUAGUGAGAUAUAUAUGUAUCCAGCACUUUGAAUUUGUCCUGAUACUAGAUUAUUGAAUAUUGAUUUACAAAGCAGGUCUUGAUUUGUUGGGACUUAGGCAGAGUUGUUGUACAGUUCUUCUAAUAUUUUCUCAAGAUUAAUUCGGAGCGUAAAUUGAAACUGCACAAGACAUAAUACUGACAGUCUUAGUUGGAAUAGUUACAGCAAAUGUAAAACAAAGACUGCUGAUGUUUCUCCUAAUAUCAAAGCAUUUUUUUUAUUUUGGAGUGAAGGAUACGCUUAAAUCGCCUCCACCAGAAAAUCAGACUAUGAAGAAGGCGUCAAUAACCUCAAUAGUUAUCAUCACUUUCUUCUAUCUAUGCUGUAGUUGCUCCGGUUAUGCAGCCUUUGGGAACGACACACCAGGCAACCUCUUGACAGGCUUCUACGAGCCGUUUUGGCUUGUUGAUUUUGCCAAUGCCUGCAUAGUCCUUCAUCUGGUUGGAGCGUAUCAGGUUGUACUAAAAUUCGAGUCUUUCCCUUCCACCCUUUUACUUGGUUUAUGAAAAUUCUAACUUUAACAUGAACAAAUGCUCGUUUCCUUAGGUAUACAGCCAGCCAAUAUUUGCAUUUGUUGAAAAAUGGGCUACUCAGAAAUAUCCUGAGAACAGAUUCUUGAAUAAGUUCUGCGCCAUCAAACUCCCGGUGUUGCCAGUUCUCCAGUUGAACCUCUUCCGGUUAUGUUUUCGGACUCUAUAUGUUAUAUCUACAACAGCAAUAGCCAUAGCAUUUCCUUAUUUCAACCAGGUAAUAGGAAUCUUGGGAGCAUUGAACUUUUGGCCUAUGACCAUAUAUUUUCCGGUGGAAAUGUACAUUGUGCAAAGAAAGAUUGGAGCUUGGACAAAAGAAUGGUUACUUCUUGAAGGUUUCAGUAUGAUCUGCUUGAUUGUAUCUUUACUGGGAUUGAUUGGAUCAAUUGAGGGAAUAGUUA
rnacentral:lncRNA from 1 species